GAUGACUCUCGCGCCGUAGUAUUAUGCGAUUUGAAAGUCACGCGGUAAAUUUGCGGGAAGCUGGCUGCCAGUCGACUACAUAAGUAAAGCAGGCAGCGUGCCUGGCCAGUACUUAGGUGACUUUCGCGCCGUGAUGUUAAGUGAUUUGAAAGUCGCGCGGUAAAUUCGCAGCAAGCUAGCUGUCAGUUGGCUAUAUAAGUAAAGCAGGCAGCGUGCCUGGCCAGUGCUUUGGUGACUUUCGCGCCGUGAUGUUAUGUGAUUUGAAAGUCGCGCGGUAAAUUCGCAGCAAGCUAGCUGCAAGUUGGCUAUAUAAGUAAAGCAGGCAGCGUGCCUGGCCAGUACUUAGGUGACUUUCGCGCCGUGAUGUUAAGUGAUUUGAAAGUCGCGCGGUAAAUUCGCAGCAAGCUAGCUGUCAGUUGGCUAUAUAAGUAAAGCAGGUAUCGUGCCUGGCCAGUGCUUAGGUGACUUUCGCGCCGUGAUGUUAAGUGAUUUGAAAGUCGCGCGGUAAAUUCGCAGCAAGCUAGCUGUCAGUUGGCUAUAUAAGUAAAGCAGGCAGCGUGCCUGGCCAGUGCUUAGGUGACUUUCGCGCCGUGAUGUUAAGUGAUUUGAAAGUCGCGCGGUAAAUUCGCAGCAAGCUAGCUGUCAGUUGGCUAUAUAAGUAAAGCAGGCAGCGUGCCUAGCCAGUGCUUAGGUGACUUUCGCGCCGUGAUGUUAAGUGAUUUGAAAGUCGCGCGGUAAAAUCGCGGGAAGCUAGCUGCAAGUUGGCUAUAUAAGUAAAGCAGGCAGCGUGCCUGGCCAGUGCUUAGGUGACUUUCGCGCAGUAGUGUUAUGUGAUUUGAAAGUCGCGCGGUAAAAUCGCGGCAAGCUAGCUGCAAGUUGGCUAUAUGGCAGCGUGCCUGGCCAGUGCUUACUUGACUUUCGCGCCGUGAUGUUAUGUGAUUUGAAAGUCGCGCGGUAAAUUCGCGGCAAGCUAGCUGCAAGUUGGCUAUAUAAGUAAAGCAGGCAGCGUGCCUGGCCAGUGCUUAGGUGACUUUCGCGCCGUGAUGUUAAGUGAUUUGAAAGUCGCGCGGUAAAUUCGCAGCAAGCUAGCUGUCAGUUGGCUAUAUAAGUAAAGCAGGUAUCGUGCCUGGCCAGUGCUUAGGUGACUUUCG